AACUUUCGCCAACCCACAAUCUGGAGGCUUCGAGGUCAUUUGAAAGACACAUCAUUUCCCGCAACCCAUGAAAUGAUGUACAACUGUUGUGAUCUGUGAAUACUUGUUGAAUCAUCCUGCUUGCCUGUUUGAGAAAGAAGGCCCUUUGCAACAGAGAGUGGAACUUUCGCCAACCCACAAUCUGGAGGCUUUGAGGUCAUUUGAAGGACACAUCAUUUCCCGCAACCCAUGAAAUGAUGUACAACUGUUGUGAUCUGUGAAUACUUGUUGAAUGAUCCUGCUUGCUUGUUUGAGAAAGAAGGCCCUUUGCAACAGAGAGUGGAACUUUCGCCAACCCACAAUCUGGAGGCUUUGAGGUCAUUUGAAGGACACAUCAUUUCCCGCAACCCAUGAAAUGAUGUACAACUGUUGUGAUCUGUGAAUACUUGUUGAAUGAUCCUGCUUGCCUGUUUGAGAAAAAAGGCCCUUUGCAACAGAGAGUGGAACUUUCGCCAACCCACAAUCUGGAGGCUUUGAGACCCAUGAAAUGAUGUACAACUGUUGUGAUCUGUGAAUACUUGUUGAAUCAUCCUGCUUGCCUGUUUGAGAAAAAGGCCCUUUGCAACAGAGAGUGGAACUUUCGCCAACCCACAAUCUGGAGGCUUUGAGGUCAUUUGAAGGACACAUCAUUUCCCGCAACCCAUGAAAUGAUGUACAACUGUUGUGAUCUGUGAAUACUUGUUGAAUCAUCCUGCUUGCCUGUUUGAGAAAAAAGGCCCUUUGCAACAGAGAGUGGAACUUUCGCCAACCCACAAUCUGGAGGCUUUGAGGUCAUUUGAAGGACACAUCAUUUCCCGCAACCCAUGAAAUGAUGUACAAUUGUUGUGAUCUGUGAAUACUUGUUGAAUCAUCCUGCUUGCCUGUUUGAGAAAGAAGGCCCUUUGCAACAGAGAGUGGAACUUUCGCCAACCCACAAUCUGGAGGCUUUGAGGUCAUUUGAAGGACACAUCAUUUCCCGCAGUAAGAAU